rnacentral:rRNA from 1 species
UACGUAGGGUGCAAGCGUUAAUCGGAAUUCCUGGGCGUAAAGCGUGCGCAGGCGGCUUUGCAAGACAGAUGUUAAAUCCCCGGGCUUAACCUGGGAACUGCAUUUGUGACUGCAUGGCUGGAGUGCGGCAGAGGGGGAUGGAAUUCCGCGUGUAGCAGUGAAAUGCGUAGAUAUGCGGAGGAACACCGAUGGCGAAGGCAAUCCCCUGGGCCUGCACUGACGCUCAUGCACGAAAGCGUGGGGAGCAAACAGG